UUUAAAGAUAGUUUCACAAGGCAGCAGAUGAACUUGUAACAGACGACACUUUGGUACCAGGCCUCAUGGAGUGAUUUUUUUUUUUUUUCAGGGCAAGCCAGAUCCAGAAGAAUGAGUAAUCUCUCCUGGCUUUCUCUUGGGGAAGGAGAACCCUUUGGGGACCAUCUGAGUGAGAUGGUUCUUAAAAUCUUAGUGAUCAUUUGUUCUUUUUAUGACGAGACUAUGUUUCUGUACCCCUGAGGACAGUCCAUCGCAGUGAGAAAUGACCUUGUUCCUCCAAAUUCAAGCAGGAGACAUGCAUUGUCUUGGUCUGUCUUUACAAUGUAGUUUGCUGAGAUCACCACGUCUUUGUAUUCUGUUUAAAUAGCUAAAGUUCUCCAGAGCACACUGUCUUGCAGCUGGCUUCUUGGUAUUGGGCUGUCAAGCCGAGAGGUUGUCGUUCGCCUGUAUUUGUUUUCUAUUGCUGUGUAACAGAUUACCCCCAAACUUUAAAUCUCGAAAGGCAAAUGUUUUCUGUCAGCUUCUGGAGGUUAGAAAUGGGAAGCAGCUUAGCAUGAUGGCUCUGGCACAGGGUCACCGGAAGUGGCCGCCCAGAUGUUGGCAGGGUUUGCAGUCAUCUCACUGGGGCUGGAGAAUCCCCUUCUGUGCGCGUUCUUUGUGGCUCUUGGCAGAAUGACUUCGAUCUCUCAGUACGGGUCCCUGUGUAGAGCAGCAUGAGGGUCCUCGCACCAGAGCAGCUGGCUACCCCUGAGCAGGGGACCCCAGGGAGAAGCGCAAGGAGGAGUCUGCAGUGCCUUUCAUGACAGUCCUGUGGCCCUUAGAAGCAAGCUCCUAUGCCUGGCCGACAGUGGUGCAGUAUCUGAGAAUGUGGGGGCUCUAUCUUAAAACCAACGGGGUUUUAAGUCAGUCAGUCCAACGGGGGGAAGGUAAAACUAGAUACCACAGAGAGCUCGCUUGCUACUGCCAUGUCCAAACUGAGUAGAAGACAGACGCUCUCUUUCCCCAACGCCACCUGCAGGUUUGGAGAGCCGUGGCAAGAAAUGAUGAUUCCCAAGAGAAUGAAAAGAGCUCUACGUUUGCCUGGCUACCAGCAGGGCAAGGACGCCUUGGGCCAGCACCCCCAUCUUUGCCUCUCCCUGGGCCAGGAACCGACAAAGGGAACUGGAUCCUCCUAACUGAGCCACGAAAGCAGACUCCAUUGCAGUCAGGGUUGUUAAACCGAAGGAGGGUAUGUGAAGGAGGUGUUGGGUUAGCGGCCGAAUAAAAGCUUCACGGUUGAGAUUCAGAGGGAAGUCGAUUGCAGCUGUGAGCCAUGUCCCUGGCCGAGUCGAGGUUGGCACUUGCUCUCUGCAGCCAUACCAGCCGAAACACGUUCAGGUCGGCUCUCUCCCCCGGGAAGCCACUAAUGCAAUUCAGUAGGGAACAUCUGGGAAUUAGAAAUGUCUGCUGGUGCUUCAUCGCGCCUCUAAAUCCGGUGUGUAGAACUGGUCCGCGCUUCACCCAUGAAAGAAACCUAGAUGACCCCAGUCAGUUGAACACUAAGUUUUAGGGAACGUCUGCCGGGUGUCUGGCGCCCGUGCUGAACCAUGUUUUAGAGACUUGAGAUCGCUUCCAGACACAUAGUCCUGUCUAGCUUUAUGCUCUGCCUCUUCCCAGUGUUUUCUUCUCUGUAGCACUGCUUGGUUAAGCUUGAACUUGACGAAGAAGCAUUGCUGCUGAGGCAGCCUGGAGAACAAGGCACUUCCCUCCACAAGGAUGGACUCCUUCACACCACUUUCCCAUGAAUUGCCUUUUUCCUUCUGAUUUUGAGGCAGAGUCAAAAUAGAUGGGUCUUUUGUUUUUUGUUGUUGUUUAUGCUCCCAGCUUUUUGGGACCAUCUGACCUCUUGGGUUCAGACGUCUGCAGUAGCACACAGCCUGCUGCCUGUGCGGGUUUCACCCCAGAGCCUUUUGUUCAGCCACACACGCUGUGUGCCUGCGUGCGGUCAAGGCAGCUGGUAGUGCUGGAGCAGGAUCCCAGAAACGGACUUUUUAUUCAUUCUCUGCUUCUUGGAUAUUCGAUGGCGUGUCAGGCAUCUUGGCUGCUUGAAGCCAGGGCCCUGGGCCCUUGGAGUUCUCCUGCAGAGAGGUGGUCAGUCUGCUGCCUCUGCAUCUGGGCCAGAGCUUGCCUGUCUCAGCAUGUCUCUAGACUUAGAAUAGCAGCUGUGUAUUAAUCUGCGAAACCCAAUCACUUACCCACCCAUGGCAUCUGGGCACGGGUAAUCAUUUUAAAGAAGCAUGGUUUCUUUGGCAGGGCAGUUUUCUGUCUGGACCUUGAAAGGGGUGUGGUUAACCAUACACCCCCAUCCCCGUGUCCUUACCUCAGCUUUUAAUAAAGGAUGAAAUCAGAUCUUGAAGCAACCGGGUCACAAUUCUUUUGAAUGCUUCCACCCCAGGGGCAUUUCCUGUUCUAGUAAGGAUUUUCCAGUUUAGCACUGAGGUUUCCUUGAGGCUAGCUCAGGAAUUUCUUAGGAAAGGCUUGAAGGAGAGGGAUGCAAACUGAUUUUUUUCAAGCAUUCAUUUAUGUCACCUUUCCCACCCCCGGAAUUUAAAUCUCUUUCUCUGGGCUGGUCCUAGAAAUGAAUACCUCGUGGCAAAACUAGGUUGAAGAGGUCUCAAGUUACUGUUCAGAGGGCCUGUGGUUUCUCUUCGCUUAACCUCUGCCUGCAGCCCUGGCCAGCCGGCCAUGCAGUGUGGAUGGCCAGGGGGAAAUGAAACGCAUUUCCUGGGGUAUUAAAUUCUUUGCCACCUUUGUAAGAGUGGGGCACUGACAGAUGUCGCAGUGUUUGAUCAUCAUGUGGCCGUGCCGAAAUUUCCAGAGGGGGCUCUUGCUGGUGCUUACCCCCCAAAUUCCUGGACACUUCUAACUCAGUUCAAUGAAUAUAGCACAGAACAGCCAAUCUUGCCCCUGGUGUAGCCCCUUCCUCUCCUUCUUAAUCUUUAAAAACAAACAAAAAAACCAAGUCCAGUCCAAGGGUAAUUUUUACUUGAAACCAGGAGGGUUGGGGAGGAACAUGAGCUAAGGACCGGUGCUCCGUGUAAGCCAUCUUGCUCCUGGUGGCCGGGUCCAGAUCACUGAGUACUAUGAGCCAGUGCCUUUCCCUCCCCUGAACACAAUCCGCCUCUUCCCACCUGGGUACCCCAGGGGCAAGCCUCAAAGGAGGCAUCUUGGAAAGCCCUGAGGGCACUCACAUAUCCAGGGGUCCAUUUUAAGCAUCUUUAAUAAGAUAUUUUCUGUAUAAAACAAAUGCCCUUUCCUGUCUUGGUGCCACCAGUGGCCCAGUUCCAACCACUGAAUGGAAAAGUGGAGACUGCCAGUACUUCUUGGUCUUCCCUUCAUGCCCUUUGACGUGGUUGUCCCCCAUCUGUCCCGUCCAUUUCACCGUCAUGGAUGGGGAGCAGAGGACGCCAUGCGGUCUCGAGGCAGUCCUCUGUGAGCCUGUGAUCACUCUUGUUGGUUUUGGUUUUGGUUUUGGUUUUUGUAACUGUCCUAAACCAGCAGGUGUUUGGAAAUUAGGGAAAAAAUUAAAUUCUCACCAAUGGUUGCUGUUACAGUUAAAUCAAUAAAGAUCUUGAAUAUCAA